CCUGACACCACCACAAAUAAACCAACCCUGGCUCCUGUCACUACCGCCAAGGCAACACCGAGUCCACCUAUGGAGGCUCCAGAGCUGGUGUGUGGGUUGGAACCUCCUAGAGGUGGGUCUCAUCAGGGCUGGUCUGGAUGCUUCCACUGCUCACCUGGCCAACCAGCUCUGCUCCUCCCACCAGGAGCAUGUAAGGACACAGUGUGGCACCAGGGGGAAUGCAAGACUUGUUCAAGGAGGAACAUCCACUCCGUGUCCCGCUCUGUCCCGAUCAAGACCCUUACUAUCGGACCAAUCACCUUGGGACGAGACCAGUGGUUUUCAUCAGGGCUGGGACCAACAGGCGUUUCACAACGUCUCACCUUAUUCACCUAUUCAAGGGCUUGAUGAUUAUUUGACAAGUUCAAUCAGGGGGCCAGGAUCUGGAGAGAGCUGUACGUCAUCACCUACCUGUUUCCUGUCUUCUUAGCCAUAUGUCCCUCGAGCAUGUCUAGUGCCACCCCCCCCCCUCCCUCCCUCACUCUUUUUAUUUAGAACAUAAAAAAUGUCUUCUAAUUUGGAACAUGAGGAAUCCUAGAAUAAGCCUCACUACCCUACACUGUCCUAGGAAAUCUGGUCAUCUUUCUUUCCCCAACUUUAAGCUAUUUUUUGGGGCUUUUCAGAUGAGAACAUUUGAGAUCUGGCUAAACCCUACCUUUGAUGUGCCUUGGCGAAUAGUAAACAAAAUAAAAGGCUUUGUGCUCCCCAAUCAGAAUGCAAGAUCUUCCAUUUUGGGUCACAUUGGGUCUAGCCACAUUGGGUCUAUAUCAAGCUCCUUGAUUGUUUUGGCAGCAAAUCAAUAACGUCUACUCCUCAAUCUUCAUGAAAUCUUGCAGAUUUUGGAAUAAUUUCCUACUGUCUCGUUCCAUGCCCUUCACCUUUCCCCAAUGAUCUGGUAUACAUGUGCUGUCAGAUAUCUGUC
ensembl:lncRNA